UACGAAGGGGGGCUAGCGUUGCUCGGAAUCACUGGGCGUAAAGCGCACGUAGGCGGCUUUUUAAGUCAGGGGUGAAAUCCUGGAGCUCAACUCCAGAACUGCCUUUGAUACUGAGAAGCUUGAGUCCGGGAGAGGUGAGUGGAACUGCGAGUGUAGAGGUGAAAUUCGUAGAUAUUCGCAAGAACACCAGUGGCGAAGGCGGCUCACUGGCUCGAUACUGACGCUGAGGUGCGAAAGCGUGGGGAGCAAACAGG
rnacentral:rRNA from 1 species